GACGAACGCUGGCGGCGUGCCUAAUACAUGCAAGUAGAACGCCGAAGGAGGAGCUUGCUCUUCUGGAUGAGUUGCGAACGGGUGAGUAACGCGUAGGUAACCUGCCUGGUAGCGGGGGAUAACUAUUGGAAACGAUAGCUAAUACCGCAUAACAGUAGAUGUUGCAUGACAUUUACUUAAAAGGUGCAAUUGCAUCACUACCAGAUGGACCUGCGUUGUAUUAGCUAGUUGGUGGGGUAACGGCUCACCAAGGCGACGAUACAUAGCCGACCUGAGAGGGUGAUCGGCCACACUGGGACUGAGACACGGCCCAGACUCCUACGGGAGGCAGCAGUAGGGAAUCUUCGGCAAUGGACGGAAGUCUGACCGAGCAACGCCGCGUGAGUGAAGAAGGUUUUCGGAUCGUAAAGCUCUGUUGUAAGAGAAGAACGAGUGUGAGAGUGGAAAGUUCACACUGUGACGGUAUCUUACCAGAAAGGGACGGCUAACUACGUG
rnacentral:rRNA from 1 species